rnacentral:rRNA from 1 species
AUUGAACGCUGGCGGCAUGCUUUACACAUGCAAGUCGAACGGCAGCGCGGGGGCAACCCUGGCGGCGAGUGGCGAACGGGUGAGUAAUGUAUCGGAACGUAUCCUGUAAUGGGGGAUAACCAGUCGAAAGAUUGGGUAAUACCGCAUACGCACGAGAGUGGAAAGUAGGGGAUCGCAAGACCUUACGUUAUAGGAGCGGCCGAUAUCUGAUUAGCUAGUUGGUGGGGUAAAGGCCUACCAAGGCGACGAUCAGUAGCUGGUCUGAGAGGACGACCAGCCACACUGGGACUGAGACACGGCCCAGACUCCUACGGGAGGCAGCAGUGGGGAAUUUUGGACAAUGGGCGAAAGCCUGAUCCAGCCAUGCCGCGUGCAGGAAGAAGGCCUUCGGGUUGUAACUGCUUUAGUCUAGGAAAAGGGUGCGAGGUUAAUACCUCGUGCUUUGAUGGUACUGGAAGAAUAAGCACCGGCUAACUACGUGCCAGCAGCCGCGGUAA